UACAGAGGGUGCAAGCGUUGUUCGGAAUUAUUGGGCGUAAAGGGCGCGUAGGCGGUGCGGUAAGUCUGUAGUGAAAUCUCUGGGCUCAACUCAGAGUCUGCUAUAGAAACUGCCGUGCUUGAGUGUGGGAGAGGUGAGUGGAAUUCCCGGUGUAGCGGUGAAAUGCGUAGAUAUCGGAAGGAACACCUGUGGCGAAAGCGGCUCACUGGACCACAACUGACGCUGAUGCACGAAAGCUAGGGGAGCAAACAGG
rnacentral:rRNA from 1 species